CAAACAAUUUAUUUUAUUUUUCCCUUUUUUCUCUUUAUUUUUCUGCAUUUCUUCGCGUUAUUUUCUCCAAACGAAGAGAAAUUUUGGCUCACUUUUGAUCUUGUUGAUUAACAAAUCUCGAAUCAAACUACUGAUCAAACAAUCUUCAGUCAGAGGUAUUGAUUAAGCAAUCAAAACAACAAAUCAGAAAUUCUGACCAAUCGACGAGAGAUUUGAGAGUCUUCUCCACCAAAGUCGAUGGUUAACCAAUCUCCAUCUGAUGGUAUAUCGAAGAACUGACGGAAAGGGAUGAGAAGAAGGUGGAGUAGAGAUUGGUUGAUGAUAACGGAGAUAAUUGGUUAGCAGAGGAAACAUGAUUGUGUUGACCACAAAGAGGGCACUGGUUUGUUGGUGCUCAUGAAUGAGUUUCGCUGGUGGGAUCGUGUCUCUGAGGUAUAACUAUUAUUGAUUUUUGAGCUGGUUUAUGUUGGGAUCAUUUCCGAUUGUUUUGUUUGGUCUCUUGUUUAAAUUAUGUUAUCUGGAUUUGAGUAUGCUAAUACUUGUCUCUCUUAAUCUUGUUUCUAUAUUUUCUAUUACUGGGAGCUAUUCCAUUCCCAUCUGAUGUUUCACAGCUGAAAGAGUUUGGUGUAUGUGGAUCCAUUUGAAGGACGUGAUAGAGCCAUUGAUGAGGUUUCAAACCCUCGAAAGUAUACUGAUAACGACAUAGCAGGAUCACGAAGUUCAUAUUCAAGAGACUCUGUUGUUAACUCUAGGGGUAUAGAAGACAGGCGUUUUGUUGCCAAAGACUUAUAUAGAUUCCAGGGACGUGAUAAAGCUUAUGAUGAGGUUUAUAAUCCUCAAAAGUUCAGUAAUAACGAGAGAUGAGGAUCAUAUUCAAAAGGCUCUUCUGGUAACUCUCGGGGUUGGGAUGAUAGGCGUUCGGUUGUAUAUGCAAGAGAUAAGGACGAUUGGUUUACCAUUCUUCUUUACCAUGAUGCAGGCUCUUCUGUUAUUGAUGGAAAGAGUUGUAUUGUAGCUGACCAAAGUGGAUCAGGCAAGACUCUAUCAACACCCUAUGAUUUGAGGUUGGGUCCCCAGUUCAAGCAAGGGCGGAGAGUAUCCUGAAAUCAUGACUCCUGCACACUUAUCCUCACUUUUUAUUUGAGUUCAACAUACUUUUUUUUUAUAACCGAUUUUUUCUUGCCUCAGGAUAAAAAGCAAGUCUCAAGAUAUUUAUCAAGUUACUCCUCCUAUCAAAUCAACCACAGAGGUUUUUCAAUGACUCAUUUGGAAGACCUCGAUUUACAAGAACACCACACAGCCUCCGGGCGAUGCAGGUCUUUCACAUUCUCGAUGCAAGUCUUUCAAUUUCGUUUUCUUCGCUUAACACUGGCUGUAAAACCAAGUGCUCCCAAAGUAGGUAAGUAUAUUGAUUUUUUUUCUAGAUUAGGUAAGCCUUGAGUGUUGAAUUGAUUGUGUUUAAGUUUGUUGGUUGUGAUAAAUGCUUCUUAGAUGAUGCUUAGGUGUUUACAUCAUACUUAAUGUUCGAUAGGAUGUGGUUAUGGUCUUUGUGUGUUUUAGUUUAGGUAAACUCUUUAUUUUGACAUUGAUUGCUAACACCAACACAAACCAAAAUGUUUUAACACUAACAUACAUCAAACAUCAUAAAUACAAGUCUCCCUCUUCAUUCCCAAAUACACACCUACAUAAAUAAAAGCCUUCCUCUCCAUUAUCCUUUAGCAAUCUCUUUCCUUUUCUUUUUAACAACCACACAGAAAAAAAGAUAUGGAUUCACCCGAUUCCAUGAAUCCUUAUAACUCUUGCUUCAUGGACCUCUUACAUAGUCAACAAGAAACCCAAAAUGUAGACGCCAAUCCUUACGACAGUUCAUCACAAGUCCCUGUUUUUAGUACCCAUUGUCCCCAUGAUGCUCCAAGUGAAGAUGGAUCCACACAAAUAGGCCGUAGAACAAGAAAGACAUGUUCACCAGCAGAUGAUGUUCUGCUCAUCAGUACAUGGGCUAAACACGAGCAAGGAUCCAACCACUUCAAAUAAGCAAAAAGGUGGAACAUUUUGGUCUCAGAUUGCAAAAUAUUUUGCAGCAAGUCCAAAGGAUGCAGGUCGGCCACAUAGAGAGGCCAUGCAUUGUAAGCAGAGGUGGGGGAAGAUCAAUGAUAUAGUGUGAAAGUUUGUUGGUUGCUAUGAGGCAGUAGAAAAGCAGAGAUCAAGUGGGAUGAAUGAAGAUGAUGUUAUGAAGAUAGCACUCCAAAUAUACUUCAAUGAUCAUAAGGUGAAGUUCACCUUGGAGCAUGCAUGGCGAGAGCUUAGGCAUGACCAUAAAUGGUGUUCAUCUUCAUCUACUAGAGGGACUACAACAACAAAAAGAAGAAAGUGCGGAGAUGGCUCUGCUCAGUCUUCAAGCUCCCAACCACAUGAAGAGGAUGAAUCAAUAACUCGGCCACCUGGUAUUAAAGCUUCAAAGGGAAAAUCGAAAAGGACUGUGAACAAUACAUUAACUGCCGAGGAGCAAGCGAAGGAUUUGCUAUAAGAGAGAAGGAGUAUGCAUUGAAGGAAAAGCAUAGCAAGCAUAUCAUGCUUGAGAGUCUACUUGCAAAAGCAGAGCCACUUAGUGAAGCAGAUAUGACUUGAAAGGAGAAGCUCAUUUCUGAAAUGUUUUCAAAAUAAAAUUUGUAACAGUUUAUGUAAUCGGUUGAACGUUUUUUUGUUUAUAUGAGUGAAAGUAUUCACUUCUAUGUAAUCGGUUGAAUGAUUUUUGUUUGGUUGAGUGAAAGUUAUCAGUUUAUGUAAUCGGUUGAAUGUUAUGUGUUCAUGAUAUCAGUUUAUGUAAUCGGUUGAAUGUUAUGUGUUCACGAUAUCAGUUUAUGUAAUCGGUUGAAUGUUAUGUGUUCUGAAAUGUUAUCAGCCUACUCUGAGUCAAGCAUAUCAUGGAUGAGCAAAAAGACAUCGUUCCAGAUGUGUACUUGUUUCGAGAUAUGCUUCGGACAUGUCAAGAAGUCUGGUCUUCAGGAUAACUCCAGCAUUUAUACUACAACCAACAUCACUUUCACUUAGAGGCAAAAAAGAUUUGUCUUGAUUCGAAAGAUCAUGAUCACUGAGAUUUGUAAAGAAAUAAACUUUGCUCUGUUCUUCCUUCAGUGUUUUGUUCUGUGGACCGGCCCGGAGAGUGAUCUGUGAGAUGUGUGGAAGAUAUAGAGAUGUGUUCAAAGAGUGUUUGCUCUGUUUUUUGUUUACCACACAAUUUUAUCAACUACAGUUCUCUAUUUUUUUUUUGUAACCUUGACUACAAAUUUUUACCAAGUACAGCUCUCUAUUUUUGUUUUUUUGUAACUUUUACCACAAAUUUUUACCAAGUACAGCUCUCUAUUUUGUU